rnacentral:precursor_RNA from 14 species
GUCAUUGGCAACAAACUUGUGAAGAUAUAGCCUCAUUGCCGUGUGCAAUCAGUACAAAGUAAUUCUCAUUGCACACAGUAGUGGGGCUUUAUCUUACAAACUUUCCACAUACCAUGUA